CGCGUCGGUGCCGUGUUCUGUGACUGACUCGGCUGGCAACGGACUGAGCCCUCCGGUCUGUCACGGAACACGGGACCGGCCGCAU
rnacentral:miRNA from 14 species